CGCAGCUUGCCCACGAAAUCGGAGGUGUCCGGCCGACGCCCUGCGGUUCGGCCUCCAUGGCGUCAGGCGCGAGAUCGUCGGAUCUCACCCUCUCGAAUCCGCCUACCAAUCGAUGUUGGUAUCCUGAAUCGUUGCUCAUCAAGAAGAUGUAGCGACCGAUCAUCGAGACGAAAUGAGGCGUUUUCAGCUGUGCAGUAAUUGCGGAUGGUAAUCCAGUAGUUCCCAUAGGCAGA